UCCAGACUCCUACGGGAGGCAGCAGUGGGGGAUAUUGGACAAUGGGGGAAACCCUGAUCCAGCGACGCCGCGUGAGUGAAGAAGUAUUUCGGUAUGUAAAGCUCUGUCAGCAGGGAAGAAAGAAAUGACGGUACCUGACCAAGAAGCCCCGGCUAACUACGUGCCAGCAGCCGCGGUAAUACGUAGGGGGCGAGCGUUAUCCGGAUUCACUGGGUGUAAAGGGAGCGUAGACGGCCAUGCAAGCCAGGGGUGAAAGCCCGGGGCCCAACCCCGGGACUGCCCUUGGAACUGCAUGGCUGGAGUGCGGGAGGGGCAGGCGGAAUUCCUGGUGUAGCGGUGAAAUGCGUAGAUAUCAGGAGGAACACCGGCGGCGAAGGCGGCCUGCUGGACCGCGACUGACGUUGAGGCUCGAAAGCGUGGGGAGCGAACAGGAUUAGAUACCCUCGUA
rnacentral:rRNA from 1 species